rnacentral:sRNA from 1 species
CUGAAGAGAUGGCAAGACUGAAAUCUCUAAUCCUGUUGUUUCUAAUCUCAAGUCAGACUUGUGUGGUGGAUGCAUAUUUGUACGAAGCUCUUGGAUGCUUGGGAGGUGUCGUCUUUAUAGCUCUCUUGGGACAACGCUCUCUAAACUUUAUAGGCUUUACAGCAGUUGGAAUCACUGCAGGAUCCUUUGCAGCCUGGUUGAUGUCGUGGGGCUUGCCAGUGGCUACACUACAAUCUGCCGGAGCGGCUGGAGUAUCGUACGGAGCUUAUGGGGUAUGGGGGCUCCUAGGCUCAAUAGUCGCUCACUAUCUCGGAUGGGAGGAUAAAAAAGAUUGAUUCGUCAGUGUAGUUUGUGUGCAUGCUUUUCUGGAUUUUGAAAAAUAAAUAAAUAUACAAAAACUAAUUUAAAAAAAUACAUCUUGUCUUUUUAUCGUUCAUCGUUUCUUCUACCCACAAUGACAUUCUUAGUGGCUAUUUUAAUUCCCUGCUUCUGGAGGCCACCAGGCAAUUAGAAAAAAAAAUGUAAUGUUUGCCUUCAACAUUAUCGUUUGACAUUUACAAAAUAUAUUUUAACAAAAGUUGUUUUAGUUUUCUUGUACAAAUGCUGACAUCGUUACCAUGUCUGUGAUUGUUACCUAAUCUGACCUUUGGUUGGUCUUCAACAUAUCUUUAUUUUCAGAUCUCGACUCAGCUUAUCACUGAUGUUGUACAUUCGCCUGCUCAUUAUCGAUUCAUCAAAUCCGCAGUCUGCCUUGGCGCUGUCAAUUCGUACAAAUCUUGUAUCAACUCACUUUCUCUGUCUGUUUGUCUGUCUGGUAAAAAAAGUUUUUCGAAUUUGUUUUUUUCACCCAUUUCCCCUUAUCGAUCAAUCUAAAACUUUGCAGUUUGCACAAUUGUUUAUUGAACCUGAAAAGACAUGAAUCAAUAAAAAAUUUAACCAGAUGGUUAA